AAGGAUUGUGUAAUCAGGAGCAGGAAAGGACACCCAAGACGCAGCCACGCUCCCAUCCAGUGGCUCCCGCUCAUCGCAGUGGCUGGGGAGGAACUUCUGCAGGCUCAGAGUAGCCCCUAGCACAUCUCCACAGCCCUGCAAUUCUGGUUAACCUGGUAGCUCAGGGCUUUCUUCCUUGAGCACACGGAAGGAAGUCCAGCCCUGCACAGCCCUGCAAGGACGCCUCCCCCCUUCUCCUUACUUGUAGAAGAAUGAAAGUGACCCCCCACCGUGAGGGAGCCAUUGGAGAGGGGACACUCACCCUGUUAAAGCGCUUGGCUUGGAAGAGGUGGCCGUUGGCUCGGUACAGCUUCCUCCAUCUUCUGGCUCCACGGCGGUAGAUGGACUCUAGAAAGGACGAGGGAAAGUGUGUAAGGAAGAAGCAUGGUGAUGGAGGAGCCUGGUUCCCGAACCCCAGGUACAGAUGGGGACAGGCGGUUCCUGACUAGGUGGCUGCAGUGGCUGGAGCGGUGAUUCUCAUCCUGGCUGAGGGAUGCCAGAACUAAGUUGACCAGGCUCCCUGGGUACAGGCUUCCCUUCACCUCUCCUCACAUGACUCAAAUGACCUCACAGCUGUGGCUGUUGGAGAUGGCAGCUCAGGUGGAAGAGGCCCCAGACAGUAGUGGAGAUACCCAGCAUCCCGCAGGAACAACAGGCAGGGUUCGGCAGCAGGAUAUCGGUUCCUCCGGCCUGGGCCAGUCAGCUCCCAGACUGUAUUCCCGGCUGCUUUCCUUCACUCUCUGAGUGGCUUCUGAAAGCCAGGCCCCUUUUUCCAUACAGGGACAAGGUUCAAAUGGACCAUGCUAUUUACAUAUGACCAUCCAAGGAGGGAAAGUGGAUGGCUAGGCUGGAGGCUAUCCUCAGCCAGUACACACACUAGCGUUUCAGUGACUCACCCAGGCCCAAGAUCCCCUUAGCCCAACAGACCUUGGGGCAGAGGAAGGUCCAACUCUCUUGAAUAUUUGCUCUGAGUCCACAGUUAACCCAGAGCAUCACUUUGUGACAUGCGCCAUUCACACUAGAACAGUUCUUUUUAAAAACACCACCGAAGUUCCGACCAGAACCAUUGGCCUGAUGCUUUCCGAUCCACAACACCCAAGUGCCACGAGGCCAGCAUACAGAGACAAAACCUCCAGAAACACAAGGUACAAUGGGAAGCUUUGUGCUUUUAUAAAAUCCCGUAGCAAGAGCGACUUUCAGGAGCUUGGUGAAAGUGCAGAGAAUAUUCCUCAGUGGAAAGUGUAACAGAAUGUUUUUAAAACAAGCAAAUGGCCAGCUCUGGCUGGAAACUGCUGAAAUCAGGUCACAGCAACUGCAAACAUGCUUCUCUCCCUUUAAAGGGGAGAUUCAGUGAGGAGCCGGGAGCUGCGGUUCCUCUGGGAGCUCAGGAAGAACGAAGGCCCCACAGCCCUGUGGAUCGCCUGCCACACCCAGGAGCAGCUCCCCCACAGGUCUGCCUCAUGGCUCUUGAUGCUCCCAGAGUGCAGCUUCAAUGACACUUGAGAGAAACCAGGCAUUGUCUGAUGACCCCUCCAGGGUUCCAGCCUCAGAUGAGACCAGGAUAGAGGCAGUGCCAGCCUUUGUCCCCUCCCAACUCAGUCACAUGGGGCAUCAGGCUCUUGGAAGGUACAUUCUAGUGUGUGUGGGAGGGCAAAACCAAAGACUAUCUGCCCCACAGUUCUGAUGAGCCCCCAGUGAGCCCAUGGUGCAGGGCAUGGGCUGCUCCUCCGGUCCACCCACAUUAGGGAAACCUAGCCAAGGGAGCCAAGUCCUUGCUCUGAACAGCCACCGCCCUUACUGUCCUGUAUGGCAUUGCCUAUCAGAAGGAAGACGAAGAGGGAAGAGUAUGAAGUGAGCAGGGGAUGAGGUGCAGAGACGUAAACUUAGGGGACAGCAUGAAGACAAACCAGGAUUUGUGGCCUGUGUCCUUUUUCCUGUAUUUCUAUUAAAGCGUUAAAGCUCAAUCACAGCACUGAAAAGACGAAGAGGGGUUUCAUGCCUUCCGAGACUACAGGAAAGUGAAAGGCAUCUAAGGAACCCCAGCAGGAACCGAGGCUGAUGAGGAAGCCCUCAACAGGUUACAUUUACCAGUGGGACAGGAAAUAGGACUCCGUAUUUAGUCCUAGGGUUUAGAGCCCAGAAGUGACAAAUGACCAGGAUUGCCCCAGUGCUUAGUCACCUAUAUCAAGAAUGCCUGGCCUUCUCUGUUGUUGAGGGAUGGCUCUAUCCCAUAAGCACACACGCUGGAGCCCUGAUUCCUAGUGGAGCUGUAUUUGGACACUGGGCUGAGAAGGUGAUUAAGGAGAAAAAUGGGUAUAGCGUGGGGUCCCAGUUAGGGCUUCCUCAAGACGAGAGCAGAGCUAGCUCUCCAGAACAUAAGGACACUAAAAAAUAUACUGAAUGAACUCUGGAUGCAGACGACCUAUCAUGUGCUGGCUGCUGACACUGGUCCUCUAGACUUACAUCAUGGGCAGGCAAGCUGCUAUGGUUUAUAUCCUAGACCUGGGGCAUCUCAUUAUGGACAGACAGAAUAGACUAAGACCCUCAUCUUCUGCCAGGCAGAUAUUUGGUCUUUCAGAGAGGAAAACAGUGAAUGUGAGCAGUAGAAUGACAAAGAUCUUACAGAAGAGAACGUGAGGGAGGUUCUGGAGAUACUAAGAGCAGGAGACAAGCAGAUAUGAACAUUAACAAGUGCAGGUACAAGCAGACAAGCCACAUGUUCACAGGACCAACCCUCAUGGCUGGUGCUAAAGGACGCCUACAACCAACAAAGGAAAACACCCUGGGGAGGGGAAAGCAUUUGCUACAGAAGGUAUGAGUGCUGGAGUCUGGAUCCCUGGAACCCGCCACGUAAACACCAGGCAGAUGUGGCAGACACUGGAGCAAACUGGCUAGCUGGGAGUAGCAACUCAUGUUUAUCAUAUGUCAUGUAUGUGUGUGUGCGUGUAUAUAUACAUACAUAUAUACAUGUUAUAUACAUAUAUAAUGUUAUAUACAUUCAUUAUAAACAAUAGAGUGAGCUAGAAGGCACAAAGCCUCACUCUAUACACGUGUACACAUGUAUAUAAGUGUAUAUACCCCCACAUACACGUGUCUCCACAUAUGUGAGUGUACACACACACACACACACACACACACACCACAUACAUAGAAGAAAUAAAGAGAGAAUAUGGAAGAAAGAACAGGCAUUUCCCAGAAGACAGCAAAUGAGUUGGGCAAGUCCAACCAGCAAAACCCUAAAACUUUGUGAGCUCACAAAAGGUUCUCUGGAUAUUUGAGGGACCAGCCAACUUAAACUCACACAAUCGACCAUGGGAUCUAGGAAGGAAGGUGCCAGGACCACCAUUACUCCAGGACCACUGUUGCUCAUGCUCCUGGGAAGGACCACUGGCUCUGGUGUAAGCAUUCCAUCACUCCUCCAUCCCAGCCUGCUGAGAGCUCCCACGGUGGCUCUCCAAGCAUCUGAGAGUGCUUCAAGGCAGGCAUGAGAGGGUGCAUACCUAUCACCCCAGCACUCGGGGGGCUGAGACAGGAGAAUGGAAAGUCAAGGCUAGCCUGGGCUACAAAGGGAGAUGCUCUCAGAAAAACAAAACAAAAGCCCAACUGAACAAAACAGUGAUUUUUUUAAAAAAUGCUUUUAAAUUU
rnacentral:lncRNA from 1 species